rnacentral:rRNA from 1 species
GAUGAACGCUAGCUACAGGCUUAACACAUGCAAGUCGAGGGGUAACAAGAGAAAAGCUUGCUUUUCUUGUUGACGACCGGCGCACGGGUGAGUAACGCGUAUCCAACCUGCCUAUAACUAGGGAAUAACCUUGCGAAAGUAAGACUAAUGCCCUAUGACUUCCUUUAGCGGCAUCAAAAAAGGAAUAAAGAUUUAUCGGUUAUAGAUGGGGAUGCGUCUGAUUAGCUUGUUGGCGGGGUAACGGCCCACCAAGGCAACGAUCAGUAGGGGUUCUGAGAGGAAGGUCCCCCACAUUGGAACUGAGACACGGUCCAAACUCCUACGGGAGGCAGCAGUGAGGAAUAUUGGUCAAUGGGCGGAAGCCUGAACCAGCCAAGUAGCGUGCAGGAUGACGGCCCUAUGGGUUGUAAACUGCUUUUAUACAGGGAUAAAGUUAGCCACGUGUGGUUAUUUGCAGGUACUGUAUGAAUAAGGACCGGCUAAUUCCGUGCCAGCAGCCGCAGUAACAC